AAAUAGGAUGACUGUUGUAUUGUGCAUCACAUCAUCCACCACCUAAGGAGUGUUUAGAGGCAUGCAUCAUCUCUAAGGAUCGCUAGUUUUAUGGAUAUGCAUUGCAUGAAUUGCUUGUGGAUUGGUAAAUGUAGGUUGUUGUUGUGAUCUUGAUAUUAUUGUUGGUACGCCGUGCAAAUAUAAAAGAGAUUCUGUUCGAGUGGCUCGAGGAACUUU
rnacentral:lncRNA from 1 species